rnacentral:rRNA from 1 species
GAUGAACGCUGGCGGCGUGCCUAAUACAUGCAAGUCGAGCGAACGGACGAGAAGCUUGCUUCUCUGAUGUUAGCGGCGGACGGGUGAGUAACACGUGGAUAACCGACCUAUAAGACUGGGAUCACUUCGGGAAACCGGAGCUAAUACCGGAUAAUAUUUUGAACCGCAUGGUUCAAAAGUGAAAGACGGUCUUGCUGUCACUUAUAGAUGGAUCCGCGCUGCAUUAGCUAGUUGGUAAGGUAACGGCCUACCAAGGCAACGAUGCAUAGCCGACCUGAGAGGGUGAUCAGCCACACUGGAACUGAGACACGGUCCAGACUCCUACGGGAGGCAGCAGUAGGGAAUCUUCCGCAAUGGGCGAAAGCCUGACGGAGCAACGCCGCGUGAGUGAUGAAGGUCUUCGGAUCGUAAAACUCUGUUAUUAGGGAAGAACAUAUGUGUAAGUAACUGUGCACAUCUUGACGGUACCUAAUCAGAAAGCCACGGCUAACUACGUG